rnacentral:lncRNA from 1 species
CUUUCCUCUGCUGGCUGUUCCAUUCAAGGCUUCAACAGAUUGGACAAUGAUACCCAGCACACUGGGAGGGCAAUCUACUGUAGUGAAUUAUCCAAUUCCAAUGCUAAUCUCUUCCAUGAACACCCUCUCAGACACACUAGAAAUAAUGAUUUGUCUGGGCACACCAAACCUCAGUCAUGUUAAUGGAUGAAAUGAACCAUUACAUCCUCUUUUCUGAAUUUACCAUGAAAUUGUAUGAGGUGAAAUAUGUAAAGUGCUUGGUAUGAUACCUUGUACAUAAUAAGUAUUAUGAUGAUUGUGAGGCUUUCCCAGUCACAUGGAACUGAAUAAUGAGGUAAAACAGAAGAUAUUCGGCUUGGAUUCGUUUGCACUGAAGAUUAAUGAUUGUCUAAGAUUCUUGAUUUGGGAUGGGAGGAGAGGAUUUUUCUCCCAGGAUAACUCUACUCAGAUCAAGAUUUCAGCCCAGCCUUUCAAUGUAUAGAAUAUACAUGUGUGAGAAGAUUUCAGAGUUGUGAAAGUGUUAUUUCUGGCUGGGUGCGGUGGCUCACACCUGUAAUCUCAGCACUUUGGGAGGCUGUGGUGGGUGGAUCAUGAGGUCAGGAGAUCGAGACCAUCCUGGCCAACAUGAUGAAACCCCAUUUCUACUAAAAAUACAAAAAUUAGCCGGGCGUGGUGACGCACGCCUGUAGUCUCAGCUAAUCAGGAGGCGGAGGCAGGAGAAUCAUUUGAACCAGGGAGUUGGAGGUUACAGUGAGCCGAGAUCACGCCACUGCACUCCAGCCUGGUGACAGAGGGAGACUCCAUCUCAAAAAAAUAAAAAAUAAAAAAGUGUUAUUCUGUCAAACCACAAAAUAUACUUGAUACCAACCCAAGUAUACAUCAUCAAACCAUGUUCAGGAAUUUUU